rnacentral:rRNA from 1 species
UACAGAGGUCCCAAGCGUUUGUUCGGAUUCAUUGGGCGUAAAGGGUGCGUAGGUGGCGCCGUAAGUGGGGUGUGAAAUUUCGGAGCUUAACUCUGAAACUGCAUUCCAUACUGCGGUGCUUGAGGACUGGAGAGGAGACUGGAAUUUACGGUGUAGCAGUGAAAUGCGUUAGAGAUCGUAAGGAAGACCAGUGGCGAAGGCGGGUCUCUGGACAGUUCCUGACGCUGAGGCACGAAGGUCAGGGGAGCAAACGGG